rnacentral:tRNA from 1 species
GCCGCAUGAAUCCUCAAUUCUUCGCGGGACUCAAAAUCCCCCGCCGCAAGGUGUGCCGGUUCGAUUCCGGCCCCGGGGCACCA